rnacentral:rRNA from 1 species
UUACGGCCAUAUCACGUUGAAACAUUGGUUCUCGUACGAUUACCGAAGUUAAGCAACGUCGAACCUGAUCAGUAUCUAGAUGGGUGGCCGCUUGGAAAUACCAGGUGCAGUAA